GAGCAGGAUGACCUGAGUUCGGAUCCUGGUACCUAUGUAAAAGCAGAUGCAGCAGCACAUGCCUGUGACCCCAGCAUUGGCGUGUGACAAAGUGUCCUAGUCAGCUUCAGCUGUCGAGUUGAUGCAGCCGAGAGUCAUCAGAAGGGAGUCUCACUGGAGGGAUUACCCAGCUGGUUCCAGAAUUCUUCUCGGGAACAGAAAGGUGACAAGCCAUGUGGAGCAGGGAGUGCCUGAAGUUGAUGUGAAGGCCCCAAGGUGAAAAUCUAGAAACUGGGACCUAAAAAGAGGAGAAAAAUCAGAGUCGUGGAAGAAAGAUUGGAACGGGAGCCCUGUCUGCCUAUCACCAGAUUAGAGACCGCGUCAGGCUGAAACUUGAUUUGUUACCCAUGUGAACAAAUCAGUCAGCAGCUCCCGUUCUCAUGAGAACACCCUAAUUCUUCCAGGAAAGAGCGGAAGACUGUGCUCAUGAGUCACACAGCAAUGCUCUCAUUCCAGCACCACCGCCAUCUGAAUGGGGAAAGGGUCAUCUUCAGGGAGGCCAGCAUGUCCGCACUUGCUACAGUCGAAGUAUCCUUGUUAAUAAAUA